UGGGGAAUUUUGGACAAUGGGCGAAAGCCUGAUCCAGCAAUGCCGCGUGUGUGAAGAAGGCCUUCGGGUUGUAAAGCACUUUUGUCCGGAAAGAAAUGGCUCUGGUUAAUACCUGGGGUCGAUGACGGUACCGGAAGAAUAAGGACCGGCUAACUACGUGCCAGCAGCCGCGGUAAUACGUAGGGUCCAAGCGUUAAUCGGAAUUACUGGGCGUAAAGCGUGCGCAGGCGGUUGUGCAAGACCGAUGUGAAAUCCCCGAGCUUAACUUGGGAAUUGCAUUGGUGACUGCACGGCUAGAGUGUGUCAGAGGGGGGUUAGAAUUCCACGUGUAGCAGUGAAAUGCGUAGAGAUGUGGAGGAAUACCGAUGGCGAAGGCAGCCCCCUGGGAUAACACUGACGCUCAUGCACGAAAGCGUGGGGAGCAAACAGGAUUAGAUACCCUGGUAGUCCACGCCCUAAACGAUGUCAACUAGUUGUUGGGGGAUUCAUUUCCUUAGUAACGUAGCUAACGCGUGAAGUUGACCGCCUGGGGAGUACGG
rnacentral:rRNA from 1 species